rnacentral:rRNA from 1 species
AUUGAACGCUGGCGGAAUGCUUUACACAUGCAAGUCGAACGGCAGCACGGGGCAACCUGGUGGCGAGUGGCGAACGGGUGAGUAAUACAUCGGAACGUGCCCAAUCGUGGGGGAUAACGUAGCGAAAGUUACGCUAAUACCGCAUACGAUCUACGGAUGAAAGCGGGGGAUCGCAAGACCUCGCGCGAAUGGAGCGGCCGAUGUCAGAUUAGGUAGUUGGUGGGGUAAAGGCUCACCAAGCCAACGAUCUGUAGCUGGUCUGAGAGGACGACCAGCCACACUGGAACUGAGACACGGACCAGACUCCUACGGGAGGCAGCAGUGAGGAAUAUUGGUCAAUGGGCGAAGCCUGAACCAGCCAUCCCGCGUGAAGGAAGACAGCCUUACGGGUUGUAAACUUCUUUUCUGUCAGAAGAAUAGCUUGUCGAGACGAGUGAUGCCGGUAUUGACACGGAAUAAGUCAUCGGCUAACCUACCGUGCCAGC